CUUUUUCUUCGAACAAGCAAAUACCCGACGGUCCCGAUUGACAUGAGCUCCGGUCUCAAUGUGUAUGGUGGUCUACAAAUAUGCACGGUUCAGAUUUGGAAUGAAACAUCCCCGACGGGUGGGUACCGUGGGCAACGGAACGGAACCCGAUAUCUUGCAGCUCUUCAUCGGGAACUGACGGUCGGUAUUGCAGGAUCCAGCGCUGGUCUCUUUGGAUGCUCGUGCGUAUGCGAGAGUGUAUUUCUGAAGUAGUUUGCGAGAACAACCAUCGGAUAUCGUGAGUAUGUGUAUUUGAACGAUGCACUAUUAAAUUUAUUGAUUUUUCACUCUCCGGUUUCUUCUUGCUCGAGCGCCCAGAUCUGAGGCUCUCAGCAUGGCAAGGCCCUCGCGAAAACCCUGGGCACAGACAGGGUUCCAUGACACCUUUUUAACCUACCCCUCCCACGUGCGCUGCGGACCCACAGAAUGAAGAAUGAAUCAUAAUCAGCGGAGAGUUCGAGGUUUUGCUGUAACGAAAACAACGACAAAAACUAGCUCUCAGCUUCGCCGCGAAGUUUGCGGCAAUUUGCGCCGUAGUGUGAGUCGGACCAAUACCUUCAUACUAUCAAAUGCUUGACCAAUACAGGCAAAUGUCAAGUGGGCGUGUCCUUCCCCUUCGAUGCACACUAUGCAGUUGUUGAUUACGCACACACUCCACUAGAAUGCUGUACCAUUUGUUUGAUUAAGGGGAAAUAUACAUCAGUAUGCGAAGGGGAAACCAUAGAACCGAAUGUGUGCGAUUGCAGUUGUGUUGUAAUGUGCUCUCAUAUGAAUUUAUAAAUAUGCAUACACGAACACUGGAAACAUG